GUCAUUGGGUGGCCGUAGGUUACUAAAGUUGGUGACUUUUGAUAAGGUGAAGGUUGCAGUAGGCUUAUUAAAUGGGGACCAGGCCAGCUAGAGGACUUUAGGGGAAGGCAGCUCUGCCGCGGGGCCAGCUUCAUCCGUCCUGCAGGAGCUUGUCUUCCAUGACUGUAGCGGCCCAGGCCAGCUUUGCUUUAUUUUCAGAGACUCGAUGUGGGUAUCUUAGAAAAGGAUUGUCCUUCCUCGGGCCCGGUCAUGCACCCAGUCAAUCUAAGUGUGUGGUGACUCCUUUGACACCAUUGGAUGAGGACUUGAGGGUGAAAAGUAAAGGUUUCCAAAGAGAUUCUGAAUGGAAAACAGGACUAUUCUGAAGAGACUCACGAACCCUUUUCUUUCUUGCUUGUGGAAUCCAUCCAUGUCCUCAAAGAGAGCCCAGGACCCACUAGGUCUAGGUACCGGGCCACCUUCGGAUUAGUUGCAGUUGGGUUUAUUUUUGCUUCCCCCUUUGGCCCUCUUUCCCACCAUUUGUCAUUUUCGCAGGCUUUCAUGACAUACAUCUUGUGGAAUGUUGGCUAUGCACAGAGCGUGAAGGAUUCAAACGCUCCCAUUUCAGGCAGAUUGGCCAACGAAAGCAGCGGAGGUUGGUGGAGAUCGGGGAGAUAUGUCUGGAAGAGGCAGGGGUAGAGGAAGCCUGGAAAGAACACAGGAUGUAUGAAAACGACAGCUUUGAGGCUGCUCCACCUCUGCAAGUUUAGCCAAGGGUGAUUGCAAUUGGCUGAUGAUCGCCAGGGCAGACCUCUUCCUGGAAUCAGUUCAGCUCUUAGAACCCCCCAUGGGUGGCUGAUGGACAAAGCAAUAAAGCUGACUGCAUCCUGCUCCUUCCCAUGCCGUGGGGCCCUUUGCUGCUGGGGACCUGAAAGUAUUACAAAGCUCCCUGUGGAAGAGGUAGAGUCAGCAAUGGAAGCAGUUUGGGUCUGGAUGUGGAAGCUGCCUGCCCACUCGGCACACCCACGUUGGACGAUUAGAUCAGCAAACAGCGGCUUAGAGUGUGAGUAAAUAUUUCCAAAGUACAACAGUCGGUGGUGAGCUUGUGAAGGAAUCGUGGCUUUCAAACUCUGAGACUAAUGCUUCUUCAGUUCACCAGGCUACGUCACCUGCUACCUGAGAGCAGUCAUUGUGGAAGCCUUCCCAUCUGCCUCUUGGUAAGGACUCUGAGGACCAAGACAAAGCUGUCCCCUGACCAAGGACAUUAUGUCACAUCUAGAAGGGAAGUCAACUGGGUCUUGAAUUAGGCUACCAGACUGGAACUCCAGCUCCGCUGCUCACCAGCCGUGUGACUCAGCACACAUUUAUGAGACUUUUUGUGUCUGUUUCCUAAUCCUUAAAAAAGGGGAUAACACUCAAGCCCAACUCACAGGGUUUUGUGAAUAUUAAAGGAAGUAGAAAAUGUUUGCUCAGUGCCAAAAAAAAAAAAAAGUCAAUGUGUGUAUACGUUUUCUCAUUCUAUUUGGAGCUAAUAUUAUAUUUAGUUACUAAUUUCUUUAGCGUAAAACCACCCAGAAUGAAACACGGAAGUUCUUAUGAAAGGCAAGAGUGAACACCUGUGAGCAUGAGUAUUCAUACACCAAAGAAGAGUUUUCAUACCAUACUUGUAACAUACCAAAGAAGACUGGAUAAUCCAAGAGAACAUCAAGAAAUGGCUCAUCAUAUUUGUUUUUCAAACAAAUGGAGAUUCAGAAUUAAGAAAUGAGACAAGAACAAAGAUGAAAGAUUAUACUCAAUUGCUGUGAGGUCCAGUUCUCUAUUAGUAACUAGCUAUCUCAGAGUUAACCAAGGAGAAGGAACCAGACUAAGGCAACCCGUCUUUGCUACAGUUGAUUCCAUUACUCCCAUUGCCCCUAGCAUUUUUUUUUAAAGGGGAUUUUUUUAACAAGACUCAAUUCUAUUAAAAAUUGGGUGUCAUUUGGCCUUAAAAAUAAGCUAUGAAAUGCCCUCCCCCAAGCCAGAAAAAAAAUUAGCCAUCUCAUAAGAGCAUUCUUUUAAAAAGUUAAAUAAGUUUCUUACUGAUUAAUUUUUUAUGAACAUUUAAAAUUUUCCAUUAUGUAAAGGUCUAAAGUCUUUUGCCAAGAGCAAUGAGAAUUAUGGGAAAAAAAAAAAAAAAAAAAACCUCAACAACACACACCUUGGUAUAAAUUCCAUUCAUUUCUAUGCAAUCAAAACACAUACGAGCUGUCCUUGUACCAACAGAAAGCAUACUGAUGCAGCGAAACCAUCCUGGGUAGGUCAAAACAGGACCUUUGCCGAACAACUCAGACAAUUCAAAACUUCUGGACACUGAAGCUUGUUUUUCUCUCUGAUGUUCCUUCGAGGGGUUCAGCCUCUGACUCUACUCCCUCCGCAAGCCCUGCAACCUCAGGGGCAUGGUAUUCAGCAUUUCACCUUCGGGGUGAUCUCACCCCUUCCUGGUUCAGGGGGCGGAGGGAGGGAUUCAUGAAAAUAUGGGUCAGCCCUUCCCCAUCUCCGCUGGGGCCGUGUUGUCUUGGUUUUGAUCAUUUCCCCCAAAUUAAGAUUUCUGCAUAAAACCCCCACGUCUGUGUCUGGCUGGCAGUUUUAUGGCUGACCAAAUUGUGCACUGGCCGAGGUUCUGGUUGGCUGAAUGUUGACACAGGCUGUUAAUCAGAUGGGGCGGGGGGAUGAUGUGGGGGCUGCCUGUGAGCUGGAGCAGCCCUGUUUUGCUGUCGUGUGCAGGGGCCUGCACUUUGUUACUACAAAUUACAUAAUGACACGUUACAUUUCAAAGUGUAUUUUUACUUCAGGGAAAAUUAAACCAAUAAACAAACAACCCUGGUGGAAAAAAAGAAAAAAAAAAAAAAAAGAUCCCUGGUUUCCAGAUCUUCCUCUUCGAAAAGGUUCUUAAUUAAAGUGUAGCUAUAAACAAAUCUUUGUUUUAUUGAAAAGAGAGCAACUGCAUAUAAAAGCUAUUUUUAAAAAUUAGCAUUUGAACGUUUGGUGGACUAGGGUCUGGCCCGUAUUAUGUGUUUUAUGAUCUGUUCAAAAUAAAAAGGCAAGCUUGUGCAGUGA